UACGUAGGGGGCUAGCGUUGUCCGGAAUCAUUGGGCGUAAAGCGCGUGUAGGCGGUCCGAUAAGUCCGCUGUGAAAGUCGAGGGCUCAACCCUCGAAUGCCGGUGGAUACUGUCGGGCUUGAGUACGGGAGAGGCGAGUGGAAUUCCUGGUGUAGCGGUGAAAUGCGCAGAUAUCGGGAGGAACACCAAUGGCGAAGGCAGCUCGCUGGGACGGUACUGACGCUGAGACGCGAAAGCGUGGGGAGCAAACAGG
rnacentral:rRNA from 1 species